rnacentral:rRNA from 1 species
UGGGGGAUAUUGCACAAUGGGCGAAAGCCUGAUGCAGCGACGCCGCGUGGGGGAUGAAGGCUUUCGGGUUGUAAACCUCUUUCGCUAUCGAACAAGGCCCGCUUAGGGUGGGUUGAGGGUAGGUGGAGAAGAAGCGCCGGCUAACUACGUGCCAGCAGCCGCGGUAAUACGUAGGGCGCGAGCGUUGUCCGGAAUUAUUGGGCGUAAAGGGCUUGUAGGCGGCUUGUUGCGCCUGCUGUGAAAACGCGGGGCUUAACUUCGCGCGUGCAGGGGGUAAGGGCAGGCUUGAGUGUGGGAGGGGUGACUGGAAUUCCAGGUGUAGCGGGGGAAUGCGCAGAUAUCUGGAGGAACACCGAUGGCGAAGGCAGGUCACUGGGCCAUUACUGACGCUGAGGAGCGAAAGCAUGGGUAGCGAACAGG